GUAUGAUCAUUGCUUAUAUUACUACAACUCUAAACCUGGCAGUGAUAUCUACUCUAGUAUGUAGAUGAUAUGCUGCUGGCCAGUUCAAGAAAGAUCGAAAUAAUAAGAUGAAGAACCUCGUAAAAUCAGAAUUUGAAAUGAAAGACUUAGGGAAUGCCAAGAAAAUACUUGGAAUGGUCUCCAGUUUGACACAUAUGUUGUGAAAAUUAGUUUUAGGAGAAAUGAGUAUGAUUAUUGCUUAUAUUACUACAACUCUAAACCUGGCAGCGAUAUCUACUCUAAUAUGUAGAUGAUAUGCUGCUGGCCAGUUCAAGCAAGAUCGAAAUAAUAAGAUGAAGAACCUCCUAAAAUCAGAAUUUGAAAUGAAAGACUUAGGGAAUGCCCAGAAAAUACUUGGAAUGGUCAUGACUAGAAAUAGACAGAAAGACGGGUUAACAAUAACUUAAGAAUCUUACCUGCAUAAAGUGAUAUCAAAAUUUGGCAUGAAAGAGGCAAAGUCUGUUAAUGUUUCACUUGCCGCUCACAUGAAUCUCUCCUCAGCCCAAUGCCCUAAAACUGAAUUUGAAGUUAAAGACAUGGGAAAUAUUCCUUACUCUAAUACAAUGGGAGCAGUAAUGUUUUCCAUGAUCACAACCAGACCUGAUCUAGCAUAUUCAAUCAAUUUUUUAAGCAGGUUUAUGGCCAACCCUGGGAAACCAUAUUGGGAUGGUUUAAAAUGGCUAUUACAAUAUAUAACUGGGACACUAAAGGUAGGUUUAGUGUUCAAAAAGGGAUCAGAACCAUUAACCCUUAAGGGAUACGUGAAUUCUGAUUUUACAGGAGAUAAGGAUCAAAGAAAAUCUACCACUGCUUAUUUCUUUACACUUGGUGAUAAUUGUAUCACCUGGAAGUCUCAACUUCAAUCCAUUGUCACUUUAUCUAAUACUGAAGUUGAGUAUGUGGCAAUUACUGAAUGAGUUAAAGAAUGUAUAUGGCUCAAAGGAAUUUUAAGUGAAUUGAAUUUUUUGUUUACUUCACCUGUUAUACUUACUGUUAGUAAAGUGUCUUUUUGUUAAGCAAGAACCCUGUCUAUCAUGAAAGGUCUAAGCACAUUGAGGUGAAGUACCAUUUUAUAAGAGAAUAACUCUCUUCAGGUGAAAUGGUUAUUAGGAAAAUUCAUACCGACAUUAAUCCAUUUGAUACAGGCACUAAAAUUCUGCAUGUAUGUAAAUUCAGAAUUUGUCUGUCAAUUCUUAAUAUUGAUACUGGGUAAUUUUCUUUUCAGGUACCUUGGGCAAUGAUGUUGGUUAGUCUUUCCACAAAUGUACAAUUCAGCAACUGAGAGAGCGAGUGCAAUUUUGAGAACCAAGGUGAAGAUUGAAGGAGAAAACUUGUUUCUCCAAAUUGCAACUUAAGAGAGGGUGAUUUGGACAUUUUUGGCACUUAAAGUUAGUGGAUGUUACGUGGCGGCUUCUGAUUCGUCCCUUUCAUGUUACUUGGAUCUCUGUUUCUUUUGGCGUUGUGUAGACCGUUCGAUUACUUGAAUGGUGGAGAUCGACCAAGAUUAUUAUCUCUUGGCUUCUAGUGAAUUCAGUUGGUAGAAAGAGACUUCUCAGUUACUGCCUUUCGCUCUCUCGUUUUUCUCUCUCUAUUUUGGAGACUUUCUUUUUCUUCUUUCUUGAUUUUUCGAAUCUAGAGAUUAUUACUCCUUUGUAUGAUUCUUGUAAAUCUCAUGUGCUAUGGUAACCAGUAGGCAGGUUGCGUAAUUGAUCUGUUGUAUUUGUGUAAUUGUGACCGAUUUGUGAGGAAGCAGAUUGUAGUGUCCAGAUUUGAGAUUCUUUUGGAUCGAUGAUUGAUGUGGUUGUUCUCUUUGGUUCUAUGUACUAUACUCUCUCUGAGAGUUAGAAUUGCACUAGUGAAUUGGGUUGACUCUAAGCCUCCCAGAUUAAGCUAUUCGGCCUGAACUGG
rnacentral:lncRNA from 1 species